rnacentral:lncRNA from 1 species
AUAAAUAAAAAAAAAAAAAAAAUUAAAUCUUCACCCAACUUUUUUCCGUACUAUCCUUGCAUUUUUUUUUUUUUUUUGAGAAAAUUGGCAACAUACGUACCAUUUGACCCGGCAGUUCCAUUCUGUAGGAAUUUAUCCCAAAGAACUGAAAGAACCUCGAGGGCCCCGCGAGACCGCGGCGCACACUUCCUGGGUGACGAGGCUCUUCGGCUCACUCCCGCUCCGGCGGAAGAGCCGCUUCUCUCAGGGCCUGCGGAAGCCCUCACGGACGCGCCGGCGGGACGCGGUGACGUAAGCACGCAGGGGCGCAGGGGGCCGGAAGUGCUUGCGCAGCCGCAGUCGGUGGCCCUGCGGUGCGCGUCCCCUUCGCACGUGGAGUCUGCGCCCUGGGCGUGGAUGUUCUCAGCGCUUUGGGGACAGUCUGAACCCUUACCCCUGGUUCUUCCUGAUGCGGGACUACAAGCGAAAGAUCGGGAAAGAGUGAGACAUUUUCGGGGCCGAAGGGUACUUCGAUUGAUUUAAAUCAUAGGGGCAGGGCCCAAGGGCAGAAAGGGCUGCGCAGGAUGGUGAGGGGUGACCCAUCACAUGAUCCUUCGUUAGUGGGGGUUAGGGAUAGGGCAGGUGUCUGAGGAUCUCCAGGGCCUGGAGGCCCAGCUGUUGCCAGGACAAGGUCCCUCUCACUGCUGUGUGGUGGGGCUCCAGCCGGAGACCUUUCAGACGGAGGCCCUAGGUUUGGAAGGUGAUGGCCAACCUAGAUCUUGGAGGAGGAUGGCGAUGGUUGUCGGAGUGAGGUGACACUGACUAGAGCAGAUCCUCAGUGGUGAGAGGUGAAAGGAGGUGAGACGUCCUUAGAGGAGGGUGUGGAAGCCCCGGUCGGAUGCCCCAGGAACCCUGCCUGGAGCCCAGGAGCCGCAGCAAGGUCUGGCCUUUGUUCCUUUUUCUCUCAUCAUUCCCGUGCUGGCCUCCUGGGGAUAAGCUCCAUUCCUGCAUGCCCGCCACUCCUCUGGCCUUUGGACUUGCUAGUGGCAAGGGACUGAACUGGGUUUGCUAGGAGCCAGGUGCUCUUGUACCCCUGGACCCCGGGUACAGAAUAAUUAGAAGAAGGCAUGAACUAUGAAGGUCUAAAGGACAUUCAUCUCUGAAUUGUUUAUAAUACCAAAAAACGGGCCUUGACAUAAAUGUUCAUGAAAUGAACAUGAUUCAAAAAGUCUGGUAUAGUCAUUCAUGGGAAUACUAUGGAAUUGUUUACAGUGAUGCCUUUAAAAUAUUUCAUCAUAGGCAGGGAUUUAAAAAAUUACACUGGGUGGGGGUUACUGGGUGACGGGCACUGAGGGGGGCACUUGACAGGAUGAGCACUGGGUGUUAAUCUAUAUGUUGGCAAAUUGAACAAUAAAAAAUAAAUUUAUAAAAAAAUAAAAAUAAAU